GAGGUUUUUGUCACUUGCCUGGAAAGCCUUGACCGAAGCGCGAGCUGCAUCUACUGACCAAAGAUCCUACAGGAUAUUUGCUACCGACCACACACACACACACACACA